ensembl:misc_RNA Metazoa_SRP Metazoan signal recognition particle RNA
GCCAGGCACAGUGGCUCAUGCCUGUAAUCCCAGCACUUUGGGAGGCUGAGGUGGGAGGAUUGCUUGAGCCCAGGAAUUCGAGACCACCCUGGGCAACAAAGCAAGACCCCAUCUCUA